rnacentral:rRNA from 1 species
UGGGCGCAAGCCUGAUCCAGCCAUACCGCGUGGGUGAAGAAGGCCUUCGGGUUGUAAAGCCCUUUUGUUGGGAAAGAAAUCCAGCCGGCUAAUACCUGGUUGGGAUGACGGUACCCAAAGAAUAAGCACCGGCUAACUUCGUGCCAGCAGCCGCGGUAAUACGAAGGGUGCAAGCGUUACUCGGAAUUACUGGGCGUAAAGCGUGCGUAGGUGGUUAUUUAAGUCCGUUGUGAAAGCCCUGGGCUCAACCUGGGAACUGCAGUGGAUACUGGAUGACUAGAAUGUGGUAGAGGGUAGCGGAAUUCCUGGUGUAGCAGUGAAAUGCGUAGAGAUCAGGAGGAACAUCCAUGGCGAAGGCAGCUACCUGGACCAACAUUGACACUGAGGCACGAAAGCGUGGGGAGCAAACAGGAUUAGAUACCCUGGUAGUCCACGCCCUAAACGAUGCGAACUGGAUGUUGGGUGCAAUUUGGCACGCAGUAUCGAAGCUAACGCGUAAGUACGCCGCUGGAGAACG